GAAGGGAGCUGCUCCCUUAGGUCAGCGGCGGACGGGUGAGUAACACGUGGGUAACCUGCCUGUAAGACUGGGAUAACUCCGGGAAACCGGGGCUAAUACCGGAUGCUUGAUUGAACCGCAUGGUUCAAUCAUAAAAGGUGGCUUUUAGCUACCACUUNCAGAUGGACCCNCGGCGCAUUANCUAGUUGGUGAGGUAACGGCUCACCAAGGCGACNAUGCNUANCCNACCUGANAGGGUGAUCGGCCACACUGGGACUGAAACACNGCCCANACUCCUACNGGAGGCAGCAGUGGUCAUAGCUUU
rnacentral:rRNA from 1 species